rnacentral:sRNA from 1 species
GCCGGGCAUGGUGGCAUGUGCCUGUAGUCCCAGCUACUCAGGAGGCUGAGGCAGGAGAAUCGCUUGAACCCAGGAGGUGGAGGUUGCAGUGAGCGGAGAUCGUGCCACUGCACUCCAGCCUGGGUGACAGAGCGAGACUCCGCCUCAA